rnacentral:rRNA from 1 species
GAUAGCGAACAAGUACCGUGAGGGAAAGAUGAAAAGCACUUUGGAAAGAGAGUUAAAAGUACGUGAAAUUGUCGAAAGGGAAGCACUUGAAGUCAGCCAUGCUGCUUGAGACUCAGCCUGGCUUUUGCUUGGUGUAUUUCUCGGUAGCAAGCCAGCAUUGGUUUGUGUCGUCGGAGAAGCGUAUGGGGAAUGUGGCAUCCUCGGAUGUGUUAUAGCCCUGUGCAGGAUACGACGACGUAGACCAAGGAACGCAGUGUGCCUCUGGGCGGGUCUUCGGACACCUUCACACUUAGG